AACGCCGCCGCCUCUCUCUUCCCCUCCUCUCUCCCACCUUGCAGCCGCCGGCAAAGCCAGGCGGCUGCAAAGACGGCUGCGGCGGGGCUCCUCUUCUCCCUCGCCCUGCACGGCGCCGGCGUCGACGCCCAGAUCCAGCGCCGGCGAGCCGGGAUUCGACCCUCCCUUGGCCGGAUCUGGGCUGGGACGGCGACGACGACACGAGGGCAGCGCAACGGCGGCGGCAACUUCGGAGCGAGGGCCGCGCGGCCGACACUGGGCGGCCCGGGUGGCCGUUGGUGGGCGGUGAGGUGGCGGCGGAGUAGUGGCUUCGGUGAGGCCGCUAUUGGGCUUGGCGGCGGGGUAGAGGACGCUGACGACAAGGUCAUCUUCCUUGUGGUUGGCCACGCGUUCACUGUGUUUGGGGAGCUCCUCCCCUUCUUUAGGCCGACGAGCGACGUGGAGGCGGCCUGGGUCAGCGUGCUAGGGAGUGGCGGCAGGGUAGAAGGCGCUGGCGGCAGGGUUGUCUUCCAUGCCGUCGGCCAGGCUAACCCUGUUUGGGGAGCUCCUCCCCUUCUCUGUGGGAAGCUUCUUGGCAGGCUAGAGGCGGUGGUCGGAUUCGACAGGGAAGCCGGCGGGCGGCGCGGUGGAGGCGGCCUAGGUCAGCGCGCUGGCAAAGGUGAUGGGUGUUGUGGAAGUCUUGUCGUUGGCAGGACUGGAAGCCGGCUGACGGAGGGGCGUCGAUCGAGUGUGGCAGAAGCCAUGCGUGGUAACCCUCCUAAGGGAAUUGUUGAGCAGUUGAGGUACCCCUCCUCCCUCCGCAAGGAGCUCUGGGUGAAAACCUUGUCCCUUUUUGGGACGGAUGAUGAUGGCGUCUCGCGUUGCAACCCUCGCGAGGGCGUCGUUUUAGAGUCUUUGCGCCGAGGUGGUGUUGUUGGCCCGAUGGCGAUCGGUCUCGCAUAG
rnacentral:lncRNA from 1 species